GACGAACGCUGGCGGCGUGCCUAAUACAUGCAAGUAGAACGCUGAAGAGAGGAGCUUGCUCUUCUUGGAUGAGUUGCGAACGGGUGAGUAACGCGUAGGUAACCUGCCUUGUAGCGGGGGAUAACUAUUGGAGACGAUAGCUAAUACCGCAUAACAAUGGAUGACACAUGUCAUUUAUUUGAAAGGGGCAAUUGCUCCACUACAAGAUGGACCUGCGUUGUAUUAGCUAGUAGGUGAGGUAAUGGCUCACCUAGGCGACGAUACAUAGCCGACCUGAGAGGGUGAUCGGCCACACUGGGACUGAGACACGGCCCAGACUCCUACGGGAGGCAGCAGUAGGGAAUCUUCGGCAAUGGGGGCAACCCUGACCGAGCAACGCCGCGUGAGUGAGGAAGGUUUUCGGAUCGUAAAGCUCUGUUGUAAGUCAAGAACGGGUGUGAGAGUGGAAAGUUCACACUGUGACGGUAGCUUACCAGAAAGGGACGGCUAACUACGUG
rnacentral:rRNA from 1 species